rnacentral:misc_RNA from 1 species
UUUUGAGUGGAAACACUGUUGACUGUUCUGCGGGCAACCCUCUGAAAAUAAAAUUUUCUUUUACGUUUUGUCGUGAUAAAAACGAAUAAAUGUGGAUUAUUGUUAAACAAACGUAACGAACUUUAUAAUUACCAAUAUUAUUAAGUACUUCUGCAAGUUUUCAUAUGCAUCUGUGGUGUUGACGAGAUGGUUUACCAUAGGUAUCGUUCGAUCUGGUCUGUUGUAAAUAUUUGUUAGUUCCAGUGUUUGACGAGGAUUAGGCAUAAACUAAAUUAAGGUCCCCCAUCUCAUAAUAGUAAGAAGAAGGGAACAUGUGAGCUGGCAGACAGUUGACUCCAGCUUUAGUCAUGCCACUGCUACUGCGCAUGAUGCCUCUGAUAGAGGGCGUGGGGGAUGAAGUUGUACAAUUUGCGGCUGCAGUGUUGGUUGUAGUGGUGGCUGUGCUGGCGUGGUGGUCGACCAACGCACGCCCAGAUCGGUACCGCACUGUGUUGGUGAUGAGAUCAAGAUCUCAUCCUAUAACCGUCAGUAUAUUAACAAGAUCGAACCGAAUAUCGCAUCUAACGUUGUCGAAUGCGCAGGCUAAUAGUCCAGGACAGCCAAUAGUUCCUGAGGGACCAAGUACGAGUACUUCGGAACAAGUUGAAGAGUCUCCAAGGGAAAACGCGAGGGUUAUACCGCUGCAAGAGAUGGACAGCAUUGUUGAUGCAGACAUGGCGAUGUUGGAUAACAACCGUCUGCAUUUCUACAGACGGAUUGACUCCCCAACCAGUUCACAAAGCGCAUCGGAUUCCGCGAGCGAGAGCGAGGCGCCCGAGGACGCCGAGCCCGCCAGCAACGCGCAGAUCCGCGAGAUGGACAGCAUCGUCAACGCCAUGGAGGCUGACGUCACCGCCGGCUGCGACUUCUUCACUAGGGCUAACGCAUCUGAUGCAACUGCGUCAAGUGAAACGGCAUCAGUAAAUAGGCCAGAGAAGAAAGAUGAUCUCUCUACAAACCCUAAAGACAAUGCAGGCACUCCUAAUGAGAACCCCAGUGAGGACAGCGCCACCACGUCGCAGGAAGGCAACCGAAGAAAGAUACUGAUCAAACUGAAAUAUCUGAAUGACACACUGAAAGAAGUGGAGGGCAGUCUUGAUGAACUUCUUAAGGAUUUUAAAUUACGGCACUUCUCGUCGGAGCUGUCGUCGGAGUGUCGCGUGCGGCUGAUCUUCAACGGGCGCGUGCUGUGCGACGAGGGCGCGACGCUGCGCGCCUGCGGCCUGCACCACCGCGCCGUCGUGCACUGCCUCGUGCACCCCAAGCGCACCGCCGCCGGCGCAGGCGCACAGCAACCCGGCAUGCCCGACGAGCCGUCCGGCGCGCCGACCCACGAGCUGAUCACCGAGCGGCAGCAGCCCGAACGCGCCUGGGACCUCGAGAACAUACUCAUGACGCUCGUGUCCGUCGCGCUCACCAUCGUCUGGUUCUUCAGAUCAACUCAACGAGGGUAGCGCCACAGACAGAAACCCGAUGUAAAGUGACAACGUGCUGUUGCGUUUCCUAAGUGCGAGUACUCGAACAUGUUCACGGCGAGCGCGAGCGUGGCGCUGUUCGGGCUGACCGUGUUCUACAGCGUCGCGAUAUUCGCGCUCUACCUGUCCGACACAUUCCAGAUCGACCGCCGGCCGCCGCCACAGCAACCGCAACCGGCGACCAACAACUAGACGGAUAAACACUGACAUGCUCUGUGUUGUGCGAUGAUCCAAUUUUUUAUUUAGAUCGAUUUAAAAUUAUCGAAAAUUAUUUGCAUUCUAAGUAGCAAUGUCUCAUAUUAUUCGAUCUACGACAUAGUAAAAUAUAUUUAUGUCACAUAAACGAAUACUUAUAAUUUUCGAUUUUAAAUAAUAACUUCAAGUUCGACCAGUUUGUAGGUUGGAUCAUUUCUGCACAACACUGUCUAUUUUGGAUCAUGAUAAUUUAGUUUGUCUUCUGGUCUAUAUCAAAGCUUUUUAAAUAUGAUUGGCAAAAUAGGGUUUAGUUUGUGAUACUGAUCUGCAUAUUUUGUUAUUAAUUGAUUAUAAAACUAUCUUAGAAACCUGAUAGCAAUGCCUAAACAUGUAGAUUAGACUAAAUGUGUAAUUUUACCAUAAAUGUUUAAAAAUAAUGGCAAAUGAUUCGAAAUUACUGUAGGGAUUAAUUUUUAAUUCAUGUGUUACCCUUUAAAUAUCUGGUAUGUUUGACGGACUGUGAUUGGACGAUAGUCGCAUGGAGAGAAUUUUCGAAGGAUCAGAAUUACUGGCUUAUUCUAUCGAUACUUUUAAAAAAUUGUUAUAAUAAAAUAUCUCGUGUUCCAACUUCCACCAUAUUUUCUUCUGGAUAAUGAUCAUGGAACGAUGAAAGAACUACUAGUAGCAUAUUUGCGCUGUUCCUUUUUCUGAGAAGUAUCGAUAUAAUAUCGUGUUUUGUAUAGUGAUUAAUUAGAGUGAGAUAUCAGAUAUAGCUUGGAUACGCUGGUGCAAGUUGGCUUACCAAACAUCGAACCUACUAACGCCGACAUGCAUGAAAUCAUGUGAAGACGCUUGGAACGUAUCGAAUGUAUCGAUAUUAGUGCAAUAAUUCCCAAAUGACUUGCCAAGUUUGUGACUACUUGAAAUUCCACAGUAACUAUAUCUAAUGGGUUCGCGGAGUGAGCUAAAGAAACUAUGUAGUACGGGAGUUCACGAGGGCAGUACUUGUCGACUGAUAGUGCAGUAAUUCGUACAAUGUACCCGUUUUUCUAUCCGCUGUAAAAUUUUGUCUGUACAUAAUCAGUGGUCUUAACAACCGUUCGCCAAAUGUAGAUUCUAAUAUUGUACAAUAAACGUGGUCUUAAUGUUCGAUGUUUAAUGGCUGUUCAAUACUAGAAGCAUAAAUAAUAUUCAAUGUUUUAAGAAAGUAAUCAAUUCUAUUAGAUAUAUGUUAAUAUUAACAUUGAGAAGUCCUUUGGAAAUCAUCUACAUGUCAUUUUACGUAUGUUGCAAAAAAUAUAUUAUAAAUUAUCGAAUGUCCUGACACAAACGUUUAAAGGCGGUCGUUUAAUGUAGCUGUAAAUGUUAUUUUGCUUACAACCGCUCUAGGGUAAAGGAUUAUUGAUAGCUGGGUAUAACUUCAUUUAGUUUACCAUGUCGUCUAUAUUAAAUGUCUAUAAAUAUAUAGGGUUUUUAUAAAAACUGAUUUUAGUUUUCGCCUGCCACAUGAUACGAGCGGGCGAGUGUAAAUAAUGUAAUCUUUAGGCGUAUAUUGAAUAUUAUUUUUUUUGUGUGAUUAAAAAAGUCUGAAGUGAAAUCAAAAAUAUGCUUACGGAAAUCUUAGCUUUUAUUUGUUAUAAUUUGCGAUUUGGUUAAAUUAAGGAGAGGUAUAUUUGGGCGUAGACUGAAUACUAAGAAUAAUUUUAUGGUCUACAGAUUAAAUUCUCCUAAGCUCGGAUCUAGGCUCUUGUUGAGGGGAUCAUUAUAUUUGAUAUGGCGAUGUUGAGGACGGUAAUAGCUUUUCCCUUCCAGGAAGAGCUCUUGGACCGGCGCUUAUUAUUCAUUCAUAGUUUUAAUUAAAUUGCAAUUAUUUUUCACUGGAAUCAUUACACAUUAAUUUUAAUACAUUAGAUGCCGCAGCGUAAUUUAUUGUUAAAUGUAUAUGUAAAUUAUUACUAUUGUACUAAAACUCGAUGGGAAAAGACAUGAAACUAAAAUUACUUGUAGAUUUCAUGUAACCAGUUUGUUAAUUUUUCGAAGUAAUUGCUGAUCUUAAAUUGUACAUAAUGUUAUUAGAUUUAUGUUUUUUUUUGUAUUUAUUUAGUUAUAAGCUCGCGUUCGUUUCACGUUACACAUUUCAUCAGUAAUAUCAUGAGUCAUUGUUAUUCUAACACGUUUUUACACUGUUCGUUAUAUAUUCGGUUUUGCGUCGAAAAUUGUAGGAAAUGUAAGACUUACGAUUAACAUUUUUAUUGUUAUUUACUUUUAAAAGUCAUAUAAAUUUAUUAAAAUAAAUUUAAUCAA